GAAUGUGAGGGCAAUCUGGUUGCAAUAUCUGUCACCCCAAUGAUUGCCAGGGUUGAUUUGGCUGAUCUGGCUGGCUAGGCAGAUGUUCCUUUCCUCCCUCACUGCUCUGUGUGCACCCCUCCUGAAACUGUGCACUUGGUUGAAAAGGAUGACUUUCCCCAAUAGAAGAGAGGACCAUUCCUUGGUCAAGGGUAUACAAGGAGCUGAACUCCCCUGCUAGAACCUCCAAACAAGCAGUUAAAGUCCAUUAGGGUCAUCAAGCUUCCAAGACUAGAGACACAUCCAAAUGAGGCACUGCAUGU
rnacentral:snRNA from 1 species